GCCAUCCACGCAUUUGAUUCUGUUGUUUUCCUUCUGCAUUUUCCCUUGCCAACAUUUCCAUGAAGUAAUUACGGUGACUAGUGGUGUGUCAUUUCUUACCCUCUUCAAGCAUGUUGAUGAGUUAUCGUAAUUGAAGAUUCAUAAAACUAAGAGAAAGCUGAUCAUUAUACGCUAGAAUAGUCAGCAGUUCUGACCGUCAUGUGUUCAUGCGCAUUCUAGUACGCACCAGUUACAAUAAUGGCUAUAACCAGUAAAUAACCAUGCAGUUCUAGAUCUAUUGUUUGACGGCCAGUUUCGCACCGCUAUUUACGGGUUCUAUGUAGCAUCACAGGCACAAUCUAUUCAGUCAAGUUUUGAAAGCAUUGUUUAAACAGCGAUCAUUACCAGGCUGCUGACGCAGCCGAUUCGGGUCAUUCUCGCACCUGCAACAACUACUAGGAUUUGCGACAGAGAUCGCAUACGCAUAUUACAGCAGACGGCCAGUAAAAGGAAAGCAAAGCCUCACGAAUAUGCUCCAGCAUAUAGUGGUUGGCCAGUGGCAUACAGGGGAGCAGGAGAGGUGCAGCAACCUUGUUCAGCCCCAUGGAAAUGUCUUCCUAGCAGACAUGGUAGAGAGACCAGAGAGAGACGAAGACGGACCCAUUGUCAACGCAGAACCGAGACCAGAAAACCUUUAUGCAGCAAUAAUAGAAGCGUAUAGUCAUGAGAACGACACCGUGAUCGAUGCUUGCUCUGGGACAGGUACGGGGAUAACAGCGGCUAUGAGAUUGAAGAGAAAUUGUGUUGCAGUAGAAAACGACAUAAAGCAGGUCGAAGCCAUCAAGAAGAGACUAAUACGCCUACAGUGUAACUUGUAAAUGCUGUUUUGGGAAAAAAUUGUAGUCACGCUAAUUUUGCCUAUUUGGAACCCAUUUUUAACAUUAAACAGAAGAAAACUUUGAUAUAUGUUUAACAGUGAUUUUGUAUAUAAAAAGUUGUAUAUAAAUAGUUUAGUGUAAUUUCAUGUUUUUGUGUAUGUCGCUCAUUGAGUAAAUAGUGCAUAAAACUAGUCCUUUUUAAACGUUUGCAAACAAAA